CGAGGUAGAACUAAGAAAACCAACAGAGAGAGCAGCUAUCUAUGCAACCGGGAAAAACAGACGUGCCCGUUUCGGUUUUUCCAGAGUGCAAUUUCCAGAUCACUUAUUCUUGAGUGAUCUCACGAAAUCACUGGGAUUGCUCUAGAGCACGCAGUUUCAGGACUGCAGCAUCUCACUAUGUAUCUUCUGAGCAUAAGGACUUGAACAUCAGAGGAACGAAUUCGAGCGUGGGAUUCUCAGCCACAGUCACGAGAGGCAUUGGGGCGUCUCCACUGCAACAAGCCCGCAGAAAACCCAAGGGGUGUGGAAAACAAAAUUCCCCAGAGAAAUCAGACACUAGACUAAACGGAUUCUUCAUCUGUGAGGAUUUGGUGUGUUAUGACACUCGAUUAACCAGCCUGAUCCAAGUAAUAUAUGGUAGCAGAGAGGACAAAGCAUUGCACGAUCUGCCACUCACCGAUCGGGGUCCUUGCAGCGGCUACGAGCACAACCGCUUCCUUCCCGGCGUUCAUGAUGGUUCUCAAGUGUUGCUUCGGAUUCUGCUGCUGCGACUUGCCGCUCAGCCUCUCUAGACGCCCAAGUCGCCUAGCGCCUCCCUUACUCCCACCCGCAGGCAGCCAAACCCCCGUGUUGUCAUUGGCCACACCAGACGACUCCGUCUUCCCCUCCCUCCCUCCCUCCCUCCGCACUUGCAGCAAGGAGAGAAGAAGGCGGGGGCACGUGACAGACAAGCCUAGUUGCUGUUGGGGUUUGUUGAGGUCGGAACUGCUUGGGCUGCUGCGAAGGAAAAGCGAGGCUGCCUGCCUACCUGGCAGAGUGGUCGCAAAAAAGGCUGUGCUGCAGGGGUUAGCCAUCCCUUCAGAAUUGUGUUGAACAUACAUCUUCCUUUUUGGAGAUAUAUAGGGACAAACAGGCAGGGAGAGAAUGCCUGUAUGAGAACCUGAGAUUUAGAGGUAUUAGUGGUUAAGAGUGUUGGACUAGGACCAGGAAGACCCGAGUUUGAAUCCCCAUACAACCAUGAAACUCACUGGGUGGCUCUGGGACAGUCAUGUAUCUCAGCCUAACCGAUCUCACUGGGUUGUUGGGAGGAUAAAAAUAACCAUGUACUAAACUCUGAGCUCCUCAAAGAGUGGGAUAUAAAUGUAAAUAAUAAACAUUAACCUUUGCAUCUCACCCUUAAAGAGCUCAGGUGGCAUACGUGGUGUUAUCCCAUUUUAUUAUCCUAAUUGGGGGGAAAGUGACCUGGGUGGGGUUUUGUUUUGGGAUUAGUUGCCAGAAAAGCAAAAGGCAAAUGUGGUUUUCUUUCUUCUUGGCCUUUUGAAAAAGUAUAUCAUUGAACAACUUCGGUGAAUACACAGCUUUUGUACCAGGCUCCAUGUCCAGAUCUGGCUAAAAAACCCAACAACACAUUGGGUCCACUGUUGCUCCUCUGCCACUGGUAUUCAGAGGCAUCCUGCCUCUGAGUCUGGAGGUAAUCUGUAGUCAUCAAGACUAGUGACCAUUGAUAGACCUGUUUGUCCUCUGAAUUUGUCUAAGCCCCCUUGAAAGUCAUGCAAGCUGGUGGCCAUCACCAUAUCCCAUGGCAAGAAAGAAAUUCCAUAGAAUAUGUGCUAUAUGAAAAAGUACUUCCUUUUGUUGGUCCUAAAUUUCCUGGCAAUCAGUUCCAUGAGAUGACCCUGGGUUCUAGUGCUGUGAAAGGGAUUUAAAAACCUAGUUCUUUCCACUCUCUCCACAUGAUUCAUAAUUUUAUAAAUAUCAUGCCUUCCCUUAGUCAUCUUCUUUCUAAACUAAAAAGUCCAAAAUGUUGUAGUCUUACCUCAUAAGGAAAGUGCUCUAGCUGACCGAUUGCUCUCUUUUGCACCUUUCUCAGUUAAAUGUCCUUCUGAUAUGGUGACCAUAACUCUAUGCAGUACUUCAAAUGUGGCCAUACCAUAGAUUUGUUAAGGGCGUUAUAAUAUUAGAACUUUUAUUUUCAGUCCCCUUCCUAAUGAUCCCUAACAUGGAAUUGGCCUUUCUCAUAGCUGCUGCACACUGAGUUGAUGCUUUCAGUUAUCUGUCUAGCACGGCUCCAGUAUCUCUCUCCUGAUCAGUCACUGACAGCUCAGACCCCAUCAGUGUAUAUGUGGAAUUGAGAUUAUAUGGCCCGAUGUACUUAACUUUAUGCUUACAAUGAGCUGCAGUUGCCAUUUUGUUGCCCACUCACCAGUUUGGAGAGAUACUUUUAGAGCUUUUCACAAUUUGUUUUGGAUUUCACAAGUCUAAAUCGUUUAAUGUCAUCUGCAAAUUUGGCCACCUCGCUGCUCACCCUGAUUUCUAGAUAAUUUAUGAACAAAUUAAAAAGCACUGGUCCCAGUACAGAUCCCUGGUCUAUUUCUUGUAACUUUCCUUUAACCAAUUACCAAUCCAUAAAUGAACUUGCCCCCUUAUCCUAUGACUGCUAUGUUUAUUCAAGAUGAGGAACUUUGUCCAAAGGUUUUUGAAAGUCCAAGUAUGCUAUGUCAGCUGAAUCACCUUUAUCCACAUGCCUGCUGAUACUCUCAAAUAAUUCCAAAGGUUAGUGAGGCAAGAUUUUACAGAAACAAUGCUAACCCCUGCUAACUGGGCAAAGAGGAACCUUUUUAACAUGAUGAUGUUUAUUUAUUUAACAGGGGGAGAGUAACUGGCCCUAUCAACCCCCAGCACAGUACCUCCAGUGACUGUUGCUGGUGUCUAUCUUAUGUUUCUUUUUAGAUUGUGAGUGCUUUGGGGACAGGAAGCCAUCUUAUUUAUUAUUUCUCUAUGUAAAUCACUUUGAAAACUUUUGUUGAAAAGCAGAAUAUAAAUAUUUUUUGUUCAUGCUGAGUGAGGUGUGUACACUUAUUCCACUUUCAUCUCAGAUAAACACAUUUUGCAAAUCCCCCCCAAAAAAAUCCUGUUUCAUGAGAACCAAAAAUGGAACUACUUUGAGCUAUCUUAAAGUAUUUAUUUUGCCACUUUAAAUAUAUGAUACUCUUCAGCCACUUUUCUCACUAGGUAGAAAGAAGAUGCUGGAAUGAACUGAAGUCACAUCCUUUACUGAAAUUUAUGUUCCAUUUGCUCCCAUUUAACUGCCAAUACAAGGAGGAAAAAAAGAGCAAAAACUCAGCAGAUGGAGACUGGUUUAUUUAGUGAUGCAAAGUAUACAUCUUAGUCCUAAUACAUAUCAUCAUCAAUUGUAUUACAGCCAUUGGCUAGCAGAAAUAGAAAUAACAAACAUAUCCAAUACAACAAUACAUAUCAGUUAACAGAGCACCCUAAAUGCUAGAUAACUUAACAAUCAACUAGGUGCCAAAUUCUAAAAUGUUACAUUUUAACUAUGAGCAAGACAAGUCAGCCAGACGCACGCAAACUGUUUCUUUCAGUUAUGUUGAAAUCCAGUAAUCCUUAACCCUGAUGUCCUUUUCUUGCUUAGCUAAAAAGGUGUUAUGCAAGGUAAUACUCUUCCAAUUAAUGUCUUCCUUGUCUGGUUGAUUUGCCAGUAGUUUCCAUGUGAGAGUGCAUGAGACUCACUCACUCUCCAUCAGCCAGUGUGCAUGUGUGCACAUACAAAUGCACCAGUCAUGUUUCACGAGGCCUUGGAGUUAGUAGAAACACUAAGAAAGGAAAAGGAGGACUGGACUCUCAGAUAGGAGGUGGGGCAGCGGCCAUUCUGGAGAAUGCCAGACCUGCCAGAUUCUCAGGCCAUGCAGAACAAGGCUUAAAGUCAGGACUCACCAGAGCUUCGCACUGGAACCUGUUGUUCUGUCCUCGAACCUCUAAUUAAUACUAAAGCACAUCCACCCAGAUAAAUAUAAUGAACUACUAAAUAGUCUAUAGAAAGAAUUUACUAUAAAUCAGUCUUAUAAUAGCUACAAUAAAUCCAUCAGUCACAUAAAUAACAAACUGCAAAUUUUUAAAAAGCAGUUCAGCAGUAAAUACCAUUAAAGUUCAGAGUUUAAUAAACUUGCUGCAGAAUUUGUGGUUGUUCCAGAGUUUGGUACCAAAAUUGCUCUCAAGUUGGUGUUUGCUGCAAAGGUUUUGUUCUCUAUGUUGAUUCCAAAGAUGGUCCAAGCUCUCCAAUGCUGGUGAAUGGGCCCUCUCCAGUUAAAGUUAUUUUAAAGGAAACUUCAUGAGUAUUCAAAAUAUCACAUAUGUAGCAGCAGAACUUUUUUUUUUAAUGCAUGGUUUGACAUUUUGUGAACAAACAAUUUCCAAACACAAUGAGAGAAGAAACUGUACAUACACAAUACAGUAUUAUCAUAUUUUAAGGAUGUCUUUCCAAAAGCAUAAUUAUUUGUAAUAUGACAAAUAUCUUGGUCAGAGAAUAAAUGGCAAAAGGGAUUCUGUCAGCAAUCUCAACUUUAUUGUCCUCCACGAACUUGAGUUUGCUGAAUAAUCAGGCCUUAGACAAGCUGCUAUGUCUCAGCCUUCUUUUUGCAGUAUGAGAAUAAUACUGUAUUGACCUUCUUUAGAUGACUGAUACAAAAGUUACUGAGACAAUUAUAUGAAGCAUUCUGGACACUCCAAAGCACUAAAUGAACACUAAGUAAUCAUUGUGAUGCCACCACUGCAAAUGAAAUCUUGCCCCAAAGUCAAAUGGAGGUAAACUGCUAGUGUCAUCAAAUCAAAGUUUUGAAAGUUGGUAAAUCAGAAACCAAGAGGUCUGAGAGCUCUUCUGAAUGGAAUGCCAGUAAAAUUUUAACAUUAAGCCUACACUUUGUGGGCACUGAAUAAAUAUUAACUAGUAGUCAAAGCAGCAGAGUGCAGUUCCAAAACAUGCGAUCUUAAGCACGUUGACUUAGAAGAAAAUAUCAUUGAGUUAAUGAGGCUUACUCGUAUUAAGUACAUUUAGGAUUGCUGCCUGAAUGCCUGUGUUAAAAUAACCCCUAUGACUUCAGUAAAGAUUCUCCUGAAGUCUUUUUCUGGUAAAGUGUAUUCAAGAUAGGAGCCAGAAUGAGGACUUAUUCACCACCCUUUUUGUUUACCCAUUUCUAAAAUACAAUGUUAAAAAAACUGAAUGUCCAAUUGCACUUUUGACAACACAUAAUUUUACAAGCUUUCAGAUCCAUAAAGAGGUAAUCAGAACAGCUAAUAAAUAUUGUACACUGCAAAUUAUUUUGCAAAAGAUAAUUUUUGCAAAAGAUAAACUGAAGUCCGCACAAAAUCAGGUCCAUACAAUAAUAUAGCAACAAUAACUUUAUGAAUAUACAGUAGCAUAGUAGUAUAGUAGAUUACUCCAGUAGAUUAGAUGCCAUUGUAUAUUCACAGCUAUUACACAAAACCUAGCCACAUUAUGAGUAUCGUGGGCUUGAUGGUCAAAGAGAAAUAAAAUAUAUGCUACAUCCCCUCUGCCUGGCAGGUCCUUAAUCAGGGGUAAAAUUAAUGAUUCACGCGAAUACCUAUAAAAAUGAAAAGUAUAAUAAAACAUGAUCCACACCCUCUAUGGCCUGUGUACAACAUGAUGAAUUCUGUAGUUUCCCAAGAUAUUCCUACCUGAGCUGGGCAGCUGUUUCUUGUGAAUUCCCAGGUGCAGUGUCAAGAUGGAACUUCUAUCUCUGAUUUUUUAUUUUUUUUGAGUUCCAGCUUCACUGCUUGUGUGCCAGUCCUUGAUGGGUAUGACAAAAAUCAAUACCUCUCAUUCUGCAGUCUCCCUUGAUAGUCUAUGGUCCAGGGCUAAUAUUAUCAGGCUUUUCUUUUCACUCCCUUCUUUUGGGGUUGCCUCAUUGCAACCUAUGUUUGCUUUUCUAGAUCCUGUCUCUGCUACCGAUUCUUUUCAGGCUUUUGCAAGGAUUACCCAGCUUUGAUCCCUGACUUGGCAACUCUGCUUGCUCACAAAAGUCUGACAAAUCUUUUUUUUGGCCGUGGUUCUAUAGAGGUUCCACUCUGGUACACCUUGACAUUAUUUCAGUUUUCAUUUCUUUCCUGUUUCCACACAUCCUUUCUUCUGAAUCGUUUUCUUUUCCCAUAAAGAACACAGUGAAAGUUUCUAUGGAAUGCCACAUAAAGCAGUUUCAGUGUAACUGUUGCUUUUCAUUCCUACAACAACAUCUGGGAAUUAUAAUUCUCCAGUAGUGCCAGGGACCUCUGACAGAGAGUUUCUGUUGUAGAAUGAGAAUCCCCAGGCUUCUUUGGGAGAAAUCAAAGCAGUUAUAUCAGUGAAAUCCUCUUCAGCAGUUCAAAAGUGUUGGGAAUAAAAUGUGUCUCAGUGUAAUCCUAUGUUUACUCAGAAAUUCCACUGUGUUCAAUAGGACUUACUCCCUGUUAAGUAUGUUUUAAGACUGCAGCCUACUAUACUGUUAGCAAUCUAAUAAUGAUUAUAGUUUUUAAUCUGACAACUUUUUUGUUUAAUUUAGUUAAUUUUAUUACUUUUAUUGUAUCUUAUGUCUAUCUUAUUGUUGUGAGCUGCCCUGAGCAGUAGUGCACUGGAGGGGCGGGGUCUAAAUAUUUUAAAUAAAUAAAUAAUAGAUGUGAUCUUACUAAUGUUUGCCUGUGAAAACAAGAUGUUUUCACAGAAUUUACAGUACAGAUUUUUGGAGUGGGGGCGGGGACAGAUGAUUCUACUAUCUACAAUGGUCACUUUUUUAACCCUAGAAAAAUCCUUUUCCUACUCAUAUUGUAGCACACCUGCCCUCUAGUGAUAAGCUUGUGCUAUCUUUUUGCUUCUUCCAGCACUUUGAAGGAAACACAAUAGUAGAGAACAUAAAUAUUAAAGCACUUGAAUUAUCUUUCAGUUCCUCCCCAGUUAAAUUAAUGCUUUUUACCAUGAUUCACAAGUUAUGCUUCUCCCAGUUUAAAUGCCAUUCACUACAUCUCCUCUAACUAAGGUAAAGUGUGCCCUCGAGUCAGUGUUGACUCCUGGUGCCCACAGAGCUCUGUGGUUUUCUUUGGUAGAAUACAGGAGGGGUUUACCAUUGCCUCCUCCCGUGUAGUAUGAGAUGAUGCCUUUCAGCAUCUUCCUAUAUCGCUGCUGCCUGAUAGAGUACCAGUGGAUUCUGCUUGUUAGUCAACUCCUGUAACUAGUGUGGAAGAAGACAUGCCCCCAGCUGCUGGGCUGUACUGCCCCAGGCCGAUAGAUUUGGAUGCAAUCCAGUAGGUAUCCUUCUACCUUCCCUGUGUCAUUUCUUUCGGUGCCCCACUCAGUUUUAUGAUGAAACUACCAAGAUGAAAGCAUCACCAGCGAGUUGUUCGUUUCUUUUUAAAAUACUGUACGUCGGUAAAUACCAUGUUUAUUUAUUAAUUAUAUUUGCCUGCUGCCCCAAACCUCUGUCUCUAGGGGGUUUACAGCAACAUGUUGCUGUUGCAUAUACAUGCCCUUAUAUUUCUUUAUAUUUAUAUACCACCUGAUAUAUGUAUCUCUAGGUGGUGUAUCACCUUGCUCCUUUGAAGGUUUUGCAAGGAUUCCCCUAUUUCAGGGCUAUGUUCUUGUGGAGAGGGCUGCUUAGAAACAGUUGUUCAUGUGCUUUUGUACUGCCCUCUGUUCCGCGACUCAAGGAAAGAAUUAUUGACCCCUUUAUUUGAUCAGUUUCCAGGCAGGCCUGACUCAUUUUAUCUUAAUUUAUGUCUUGCUCAUGUUAAUGUGGGCAUUACUAAACUGGUUGCUAAAUUUUUAUAUGGGGCUUUGAAACUGACCUCUUGUCAUGGGGUUUUAUGAGGCUGAUUGUGUAUUUUUUAGUUAGUUAUAUUUGCCAUAUAACUAACUUUGCCCCUGCUAACUGGGCAAAGAGGCACCUUUUACCGUGGUGAUUCUCUUUAUUUAGCAGGGAGAGAGUAACUGGCCCUAUCCACCCCCAGCACAGUACCUCCAGUGACUGUUGCUGGUAUCUAUCGUGGGGUUUUUUUUAGAAUGUGAGCCCUUUGGGGACAGGGAGCCAUCUUCUUUAUUUAUUAUUUCUCUGUGUAAACCGCCCUGAGCCAUGUUUGGAAGGACGGUAUAGAAAUCGAAUUAAUAAUAAUAAUAAUAAUUUAUGCUGUAUAUUUAUGCAUGGUAACAGUCUAAAGUUUUAAUUUUGUUUGGCUUAUGGCCGCAAAUAAAAUGAUUGAUUGAUUGA